GACGAGGGAUCCAAGCGUUGUUCGGAAUUACUGGGCGUAAAGCGCACGUAGGCGGCUUUGUAAGUUAGAGGUGAAAGCCCGGAGCUCAACUCCGGAAUUGCCUUUAAGACUGCAUCGCUAGAAUUGUGGAGAGGUGAGUGGAAUUCCGAGUGUAGAGGUGAAAUUCGUAGAUAUUCGGAAGAACACCAGUGGCGAAGGCGACUCACUGGACACAUAUUGACGCUGAGGUGCGAAAGCGUGGGGAGCAAACAGG
rnacentral:rRNA from 1 species